rnacentral:rRNA from 1 species
UGUGUAGGCGGUUCUUUAAGUUUGGUGUGAAGUCUCCCGGCUUAACCGGGAGGGUGCGCCGAAUACUGAGGGACUAGAGUACGGGAGAGGAAAGUGGAAUUCCUGGUGUAGCGGUGAAAUGCGUAGAUAUCAGGAGGAACACCGGUGGUGUAGACGGCUUUCUGGACCGACACUGACGCUGAGACACGAAAGCGUGGGUAGCAAACAGGAUUAGAUACCCUGGUAGUCCACGCCCUAAACGAUGCAUAUUUGGUGUGGGCAGUUCAUUCUGUCCGUGCCGGAGCUAACGCGUUAAAUAUGCCGCCUGGGGAGUACAGUCGCAAGGCUGAA